rnacentral:rRNA from 1 species
GAUGAACGCUGGCGGCGUGCUUAACACAUGCAAGUCGAACGGAGUUUAUAAGCGGAAGUUUUCGGAUGGAAACUUAUGAACUUAGUGGCGGACGGGUGAGUAACGCGUGGGUAACCUGCCUUAUACAGGGGGAUAACAGUUGGAAACGACUGCUAAUACCGCAUAAGCGCACAGUGCUGCAUGGCACGGUGCGAAAAGAUUUAUCGGUAUAAGAUGGACCCGCGUCUGAUUAGCUAGUUGGUGAGGUAACGGCUCACCAAGGCGACGAUCAGUAGCCGGCUUGAGAGAGUGAACGGCCACAUUGGGACUGAGACACGGCCCAAACUCCUACGGGUGGCUG